GAGUUGGUUCCAUGUCUUUCCUAUUGGGAAUUGUGCUGCAAAAAACAUACAUGGAGCAGAUUGUGCUCAGAGCAAGAUGGACUUCUGAGCAAGAUGGAGCUUGGGGCAGAUGGAGCUCAGGGCAGAUGGAGCUCCAGGUGAGAUGGAGCUCCAAGCAUUAUGAAUCUCAGAGCACAUGUUGCACAGAGUAUAAGAGGGAGCUCCAAGCAUAUGGUCUCAGCGCAACAUGGAGCUCAGAGCAGACAGUGCUCAGAGCAAGAUGGAGCUUGGUGUGAUUGGAGCUCUAAGCAGAUGGAGCUCAGGGCAGAUGGUGUUCAGAGCAAGAUAGAGUUUAGAGUGGUUGGAGCUCUGAGCAGUUGGUGCUCAGAGCCAGAUGGAGCUUGGAGUGAUUGAAGCUCCGAGCAAGCUGGAGCUUAGAGCAGAUGACGCUCUGAGCAGAUUAAGCUUAGACAAGAAGGAGCUCCAAGCAAGAUGGAGCUUGGAGCUGAUGUUCCUCUGUGUAAGAUGGAUCUCAGAGCUAGAUGGAGCUUGGCGUGAAAGGAGCUCAGAGCAGAUGGUGCUCAGAGAAAGAUGGAGCUCAGAGUGAUUGGACCUCUGAGCAAGAUGGAGCUCAGAGCAGAUGGAGCUCAGAGCAAGAUGGAGCUUGGAGUGACUGGAGCUCUGAGCAAGAUGGAGCUUGGAGCAGAUGGAGCUCAGAGCAAGAUGGAGCUUGGAGUGAUUGGAGCUCUGAGAAAGAUGGAACUCGGAGCAGAUGAAGCUCUGAGCAGAUUAAUCUCAGACAAGAAGGAGCUCUAAACAAGAUGGAGCUUUGAGCUGAUGUUCCUUUGGUAAGAUGGAGCUCAGAGCUAGAUGGAGCUCGGAGUGAUAGGAAUUUAGAGCAGACGGUGCUCAGAGCAAGAUGUAGCUCAGAGUGAUUGGAGCUCUGAGCAAGAUGGAGCUCAGAGCAGAUGGAGCUCUGAGCAAGAUGGAGCUCGGAGUGACUGGAGCACGGAGCAAGAUGGAGCUUGGAGUGAUUGGAGCACUGAGCAAGAUGGAGCUCUGAGCAGAUUAAGCUCAGAAAAGAAGGAGCUCCAACCAAGAUGGAACUUGGAGCUGAUGUUCCUUUGCGUAAGAUGGAGUGCAGAGCAAGAUAGAGCUCUGAACAAGAUGGUGCUCAGAGCAGACAGACCUCUGAGCAGUAAGGAGCUGUAAGCAAGAUGGAGCUUGGUGCAGAUGUUGCUUGGUUUUAGGUGGAGCUCAGAGCAGAUGGUGCUAACAGCAGGAUGGAGCUCAGAGUGAUUAGAGCUCCAAACAAGAUGGAGCUCAGAGCA